AAAGGAGUAGGUCCGGUAAGGGCCGAUUUUGGCCUCAAAUUUCAGGUUCAUCUAACGAAAGUUUUUGGACACUUUUUAAACACUAAAGUGUCUAUUUCAAUUGAUUUGAUUAGUUUAUGUGAGAGAUUUUAACUGAUUUAGUCAUUAAAAACGCUCUGAUUCAAGCUUAAAUAUGAAAAAUCUCUCAAAUAUGCCAAAAAACGUUACUUUUCACAUAGUUUUUGUCAAAAAUGAAAGUGGCCGCAUCCGUGUUCAUCCUCAACCUUUAUAUAUGUUUUGUAUUAUC
rnacentral:lncRNA from 1 species